UACGAAGGGGGCUAGCGUUGCUCGGAAUUACUGGGCGUAAAGAGCGCGCAGGCGGUCGUUCAAGUCGCGUGUGAAAGCCCCCGGCUCAACUGGGGAGGGUCACGCGAUACUGAUCGACUCGAGGGCAGGAGAGGAGCGCGGAAUUCCCGGUGUAGCGGUGAAAUGCGUAGAGAUCGGGAGGAAGGCCGGUGGCGAAGGCGGCGCUCUGGAACAUUUCUGACGCUGAGGCUCGAAAGCGUGGGGAGCAAACAGG
rnacentral:rRNA from 1 species